GAUGAACGCUGGCGGCGUGCUUAACACAUGCAAGUCGAACGAUGAAGCCCAGCUUGCUGGGUGGAUUAGUGGCGAACGGGUGAGUAACACGUGAGUAACCUGCCCUUAACUCUGGGAUAAGCCUGGGAAACUGGGUCUAAUACCGGAUAGGAGCGUCCACCGCAUGGUGGGUGUUGGAAAGAUUUAUCGGUUUUGGAUGGACUCGCGGCCUAUCAGCUUGUUGGUGAGGUAAUGGCUCACCAAGGCGACGACGGGUAGCCGGCCUGAGAGGGUGACCGGCCACACUGGGAAUGAGACACGGCCCAGACUCCUACGGGAGGCAGCAGUGGGGAAUAUUGCACAAUGGGCGAAAGCCUGAUGCAGCGACGCCGCGUGAGGGAUGACGGCCUUCGGGUUGUAAACCUCUUUCAGUAGGGAAGAAGCGAAAGUGACGGUACCUGCAGAAGAAGCACCGGCUAACUACGUG
rnacentral:rRNA from 1 species